rnacentral:misc_RNA from 1 species
GUUGGCUUGUGUGGGCGCGUUGGAUCCCUGCUCGGGCAUCGACGACGCCCCAUGCGUGUGUCCCUAUCAGUUGCCUCAGGCAUAUAUUGCCCGUGUUGUUGUUGGUUUUCUGUGUGAAUUCCAACUGUUUCAGGCACUCGCUAGUCCCAAAACUCAAGCUUCCGCCCUGUAAUGCUUCCCUCGGGGAGGAUGUGGUGUCGGGUGGACUUUGAAGCACACAUCGUGUCCCACAUCCCUUGCUCAAUUUCGAGCUUGGUUCGUUGGCCCACGAUGCGGUGCGUGAUUUCUCGGGUAUGGAAAAUUGAGCGGUCAUGAGGUCCACGACCUCUAUCAUGUCCCACAUUACAAGCGUUCCACGCUUUGUUGCGAACGACUGUCGUAUAUGUUUUGAACGGGGUCCUAGUGACU